AAGGUCUGAUUCUGCACCACUGAAGUCAAUGGCACUUUUGAACUGACAUCUGUGGGAGCAGGAUCAGA
rnacentral:miRNA from 1 species